rnacentral:rRNA from 1 species
UACAGAGGUCUCAAGCGUUGUUCGGAUUCAUUGGGCGUAAAGGGUGCGUAGGCGGCGCGGUAAGUCGGGUGUGAAAUCUCGGGCUUAACUCCGAAACUGCAUUCGAUACUGCGUGCUUGAGGACUGGAGAGGAGACUGGAAUUUACGGUGUAGCGGUGAAAUGCGUAGAUAUCGUAAGGAAGACCAGUGGCGAAGGCGGGUCUCUGGACAGUUCCUGACGCUGAGGCACGAAGGCCAGGGGGAGCAAACGGGG